CGCUGUUAUUGCCGCCGCUGGUGCCUCCGCCGCCGCCAUCACGAUGGCGGUUGCCGCUGCCACUGCUGCCGGCGCCAGUACUGCGUGGCUGCUCAAACGCAUUGCUGCGGUAGAGGCCUACGGACACGUCCGCCAGCUUAACGGGACACUCACGGACAUAGUGCCCAGGCUGUCCACAGUAGCGGCAGGUGUCGUUGGCCCCCGCGGCGCCCGAGGCGCCGGCAGUACCGCGGACUCCACGGGCGGUGCGACCAGGGCCAACAGCUCCAACCAGGCCGGACUUGACUGCUUGAGCCUUCAGGUUGUUCUCCUUCUCCCGCAGCAUGAACACGAGCUGCGGGGUAGUCAAGUUGGGCAAAUACAUCGCGAACUCGACUGUAAUAGCGUACUGUGGAGGCAGACCGUGGAGAAUUGCAUGACGCAUAGCAGCCUCGUCCCACUGGCCGCCCGCCGAGAUAAUGUCGCUGCGGAGCUGCUCCGCCCGCUGAAUGAAGUCAGCGGUCGUCUCGUCGUCGCCCAUGCGCAGUUGCUUCUGCGGCUCCAGCAGGCUUAGCCGGGCCUGAGAGGCAGAACGGAACUGCAGCUGUAAGAGCUGCAUGGCGGCGAGGGUCGUCUGACAGUUCCUGAGCAACUGCUUGACUGGCAGUUCGCAGGAUAGACGCAGGUAGCCAAGCGCCUGGGCAUCUUCCUCCAGAGCGUCUUGCGCAUUGCGUCCCGGUGGCGACGGGUUGGUAAUAUAGAUCCGCAGCUUGGAUGUAGCAAGGAAAUCACUGAAGUCUCCUAGCCACUGUGAGUAGUUAGACCCGUCCGCUAAGAGGACGGUCUUACACCCUUUUCCCAUGUCGGUUGCCUAGCGAGCCUCCCUGCUCAAGCUAAAAGCAACUACAGAUAUUAACCGCCGGGAACCGUUACCCGGGGCUCAUAACCUGUUGGUGAGACGCUAUCUCACAGGGACCUAGCAGACACGACUAAGGAGACAUUAGCCGUUACACGUAUUCGGGAGAUCCGCGACCUACCACCGAAAGCCCCUUUGCCUAGGCGUAAACGUGUGAAUCUGAGGUACUGUUACCGAUAAACAACAGAGACUUAUAAAGGCUUGGAAAGCCUAUCCCAAAGGACGAGAGCUAUCAGUACGCUAGAACCUAAUAGCCGUUUUGACGGGCCUCCCGAGUCAGGUCCAAAGCUGUUACUCAGGCUAACAUGCGACCUCGGACCGGCCUCAGCUGUUACUCACGAUAGUCUGACAAGUUACCCAAACAGGCCACAGGGUGACACGGCAACCCUUCGCAUCAACACGCCCCCUCGUGUCGCACUAGGGGCCUUACUACAAACUGCUAGUACUGACUAGCUAGAUCGGCCGGCAAGUCCACGGUCCAGGCCGACUGCUCAACACUCAGCAGAUACAAACGCAGCUUGCCAGCCUUCAGCCUGAUGGCUAUGCGGUCUGGCGCUGCUGCACAAACACACACGGGGAAAACAGUGCCGUACAGCACCAUACGCACUGCCUACGGCGCCCCUUCGGGCAUUGACCUGCCCAUUCGGGCGCCUGCUCACGCCCCCUCAGCACCCCCUUAAAGCCUAGCUCAAGACAAUUCCUCAAAGCCCUCAGCACUCCUCCUCUGGCGAUCUAAGUGACGCCCAGCGCUGUGCGGCAGCGCACGAACUUGACCUCGCCCAGUGCCUUGGUUAGGAUGUCAGCCACCAUGUCGUCGGUGGUGCAAUAGCUGAGCUUCACCUCACCACGCGCGACCCUCUCGCGCACGAUGUGAUGGUGCACGUCGAUGUGCUUGGAGCGCACCGACGUGAUNNNNNNNNNNNNNNNNNNNNNNNNNNNNNNNNNNNNNNNNNNNNNNNNNNAAGCUGUCCGGGAGCGCGGCAUCGUACAGCAUAGCCCGCACCCGGUCGAGGAUCCGCGUGCGAUUGAGCCGCUCCGCUGCGCCGUUCUGCUCCGGAGUGUACGGCGCCGAGUGGGUAUGCGCAGUGCCGCGUUGGCGUAGCCACUGUGCCAGCUGCUCGGCGACAAACUCGCCACCGUUAUCACUAUGAAGGGUGCGGACCCGUGCACCGUUCGGGUUGCGAGCCUCCAGCUGCGUCACCAUGUCCUGCAGCGCUUCGCCCACUUGGUUCUUGCUAACCAGUGUGCGAACGGCAGACAGACCGGAGGCACCAUCCAGCAGCGUUAGCAAGUAGCGAGCCCCUCCUCGGCCCGUGGUCGGCAUGGGCCCGCACAGGUCAGAAUGUACGACCUCCAGGACAUGCUGAGGCCGGUUACCGCGGCUGACGUGGGCUGUAGCUGUAGUCUUCGCUGUGACACAGGCUUCGCAGACACCCUCUGCCGCCUGACGCAGCGCCGCGGGAGUGACCCGUGGUCCAUGUACCAGCUGCUUGGUGAUAAGCUGCUCCAACGCCCGGUAACCAAGGUGGCCGAACUGGCGGUGCAGGCGCUGCGCUGCUGCGAGUUCGGCGGCUGAGCACUCAAGGGCGCCCAGCUGCCCUUGGCCGUUGCUGGCGCCGUUCGACUGGUCUCCGCCGGUGUCACUGCUGUCGGCGCCGUUCGGCUGGUCCCCGCCGGCGUCACUGCUGCUGGCGCCGUUCGGCUGGUCCCCGCCGGCGCUGCUGCUGCUGGCGCCGUUCGGCUGGUCCCCGCCGGCGCUGUCUUCCACAGCGCCGAGCGCACUGACGGCGCGUUUGGUCGGCGCCAGCAGGUCCACGUCCAUGACGUAAUGCCCACGCUCACUCCACGCGGUGAUAGACGAACCGCCAUGCGGCAGACCUACUCGCGAAAACCGGCGGCCCGCCUUGUCCGUGCCGAACGUGACUGAGCAGCCGCGCGUCACGAGAAGGUCGACGGACAUGAGCGUCAGUCCUGAGCUGGGGACAUGGAGCACGUUGCGUAGCAAGACGGUUUCUCCAUCGCGUGUCCGUAGGAGUAGCUGCCCUGUUCCCAUGACGUCGGCUAGCUGAUUGUUCCCCCACUUAAUUUGCUUGGGCGAGCCGGCAGGAACGUAACUGUGCAACAGUGAGCGGUCACCAGUAAGGUGGUAAGGUGAACCAGAGUCUAGGACUACUGUUGAACUGUUGCCACUGCCACCGACGACCAGCACCGUGGCACGGUUCUGGCGUGAGCUUACACCGCCGCCGCCGCCGCCACUGCUUCCGCCAGCAGUGUCGCUGCCGCUGCGGCGGCCGUUGCCGCGUCUAAAACGGCCGCGUUCUCGCGUCCUGUCGCCCCCGCUGUUAUUGCCGCCGCUGGUGCCUCCGCCGCCGCCAUCACGAUGGCGGUUGCCGCUGCCACUGCUGCCGGCGCCAGUACUGCGUGGCUGCUCAAACGCAUUGCUGCGGUAGAGGCCUACGGACACGUCCGCCAGCUUAACGGGACACUCACGGACAUAGUGCCCAGGCUGUCCACAGUAGCGGCAGGUGUCGUUGGCCCCCGCGGCGCCCGAGGCGCCG
rnacentral:lncRNA from 1 species